CUAAAAAACCCCCCUCCAUAAAUUUUAAGACCUCAAAUCAGGUGGGACUACCCGCUGAACUUAAGCAUAUC
rnacentral:rRNA from 1 species